CCGGGUGAGCCCGACGGUGGCGCUCAUUGGCCCGGCCCGCUUCGGCGGCCACGCCCCCAGCGGGGAGCCGGUCCACGUGGGGCGGGACAGCCCCCUCCCUGCGGCCUCGCCCUGGAGUCUCUGCACCGUCUGGCCCCGCCGGCUGAUUACCGCCAGAGAUCGAGGGGGACCUCGCUGUCCCCCUAGAGGCCGUCAUGCGGGGUUACAGAGGCUGCGACCAAAGUCAUUCCUAGCUCCUCUCUCGGGGCUCCGGAAAGCCGUCCGCGCCUCCAGCCGCACUUUCAGCGCACGCAGGACCUGCCGCGCCCGGUGGCCACACCCGUCCCUCUGCCGGGUGACGCUGCGGGAGAUCUUGCGCCCUGGGGCUCCGGAUCCAGUUCUGGCACGUUGUUGCACCUGUGACUUGUCCUUGGCCUGGCACUGUCCCUCGCCUGGGGGAAGCGGGGGGGUGGGGGGGGGAUGCUCACGUGGUCGCUUUGCUCCCGCAGUCAUGCACUUGGGUGAAAACAGACUGAAGAGUCACGGGAACCAGCUUGUCUCCCCAGUUAUGGCGCAGAGCUGCAAGGAUGGCUGUGGGUCAUUAAUUUCUCCGUGGCUGACCUGUGUUUGUAACGCCGCAGCUGUUGCGAGGGGGAAGGACACUGCUUCGGAUUCAAAUUCUGACUCCUUGCUGCAGUGUGUCACCUUGAGCCAGUCCCAGAUCUCUGCGUUCUCACAAUUGUAAAAUGUUAACAGUGGCUGCCUACCUUGUGGCUGGAAUUAAAUGAAUUAACGUGUGUGAAUGUGACUAGAAUUCAGUACAUGUUCAGGAAAAGCUGAUUUCCGCUUUGCUGUUACCGUGAAUAUUACUGUUUUAGGAUGUAGAAAAGGGUGGAAGGGGAUGUUAUUGCAUCCUGGAAGCUUAUCCUUUUGAGGUAAAGAUUGAUUUCUGGUCCCCUGCGUGGUAUAUAGUGUAGUUUUGACAUUAUUUAGAUGUGUUAUGCACAUUUGGGUGUUGAUUAUAUGGCUUACGAUCAAGACUAACCAGUCAUGCCGUGGGAGAUUAAGGUCGUGGUCUCUUGUCAGGAUUGUAGUGAGAUUUAAAAAUUCCAGCCAGAAAUACCAGGCUUAGAAUGCUCCGAAGCCCUCCCCACAUUUUUGCCAUCUCUAGCAGGAGGGCACUGCAUAGCAGAAACAAAGACGUUGUAAAUUGUUGCUGCCUGAGUCAUUUAUAGAGGCUUAAACAACCUGAAUGUCCUCUGACCUACCUGUAACAUUUGAUGGAGGUGUGUGAGUAACUUACAAAGCUGUAGGUCCCAAGGUCGGUCUGAAAAAGAAAGUUCAUAUCCGGGAGCACUGACCCUGUAGUGUAAUCCUGGCACCUUAAAACGUACUGCUCCCUCCACCUUCACUUCAAGGUUAUGAAAACAUUGAGUAAAAGGGAUGAUCUGUUCAAAGUCCUUAGUGUUCUGCCAAUUUAAAACAGUAAUUUUCAAAGCAGUUAUUUGCAAGGAAAUUGCCUAGAACUUCUCCCAGUGUGCGGUUGUUUUGUGUGUUUGUGUGUGUGUUUUGUUUGUUUGUUUUCAGUCUGUCCACAGGCGUACUUUUAUAGGUCUGUGAUAGUACGUAGCUCUUCCAGUUGGCAAACACCUGCUGGACAACCCCUGAGAGAUUCAUCUGAGUGAGAGAGCACUCUCCAGCCCCAUCGGAGUGGGUUUGCAGGGAAAUCAUAAGGAAGAAAUCCUUAUCUUUCCAACGCUGAGAUGCCUCUGCCGAAGAGUAGAAUGGGAGACAGAGAAACGGAGGCACAGAGAAGGAAGCGGCAGGUAAAGCUGUGAAGAACCUAACAAAUUUCAAGAUUGUAAGUGCCUUUUCCCAGGAUGCCAGCAAGUACUGAGGCAAGCCUGUAUUUUGAGCUGCGUCAAACCCUGUUGGAAUAAAAAAGGACAUUUCUAGGAGAUCAGUCUUCAAGAUUGGCCCCAGUUUCCCCAGAGUAGGAAGAGGCAGGAAGCCAGAGCACAUGUUCUCUCCAGAAAUAAAGUUGUUGCAGUGGCCU
rnacentral:lncRNA from 1 species